GAAAGAUCUCCAGUUGGGUCGCCUGACUCCAUGCAACAUCAUGCCAGUAUGAGCACGUCCUCCAUUUCUCUUACACAGGUUAUACAUCUUUGAACCUCCCUCUUCUGUAGCAACCUUCUGGUUCUCAUUAGCAUGCUGAUUACCAUUAACGCAGCUAUAAUGUAGCAAUUUUCCUGGUGUAUGUCAAGAAGAAGAGCUCAGCUGAAUUCAGUCAAGGGACAAAAUUAACUGCAUAAAUCUACAGCACCAACUGGAUCUCGUCCAAGUCUACAUGCAUCUUCUCUCCUGCACUAAGGCUUGCUGCUGGUGAUAGACAACUGCGUGUCAGCUGGAUUCUGGCUUGUUGUGACAAAUCUCAGAGCUUGGUAAGCAUGGAAUAAAAAGCACAACAUGGGAAAACAAGGUGAGUUGAUCCUUUCAUCCCUCAUUUUUCAGUGUUUC
ensembl:lncRNA